UACGUAGGGUGCGAGCGUUGUCCGGAAUUAUUGGGCGUAAAGAGCUCGUAGGCGGUGUGUCGCGUCGGCCGUGAAAACCUGCGGCUCAACUGCAGGCUUGCGGUCGAUACGGGCAGGCUGGAGUUCGGUAGGGGAGACUGGAAUUCCUGGUGUAGCGGUGAAAUGCUUAGAUAUCGUCAAGAACACCAAUAGUGAAGACAGUUUACUAGACUUUUACUGACGCUGAGGCACGAAAGUGUGGGGAUCAAACAGG
rnacentral:rRNA from 1 species